CCUGAGAAACCCAAAAGAUCGAAUGGGGAGAUUCACCGUCAGCGGCAUUGGCUUCCGUGCGGCUCGCGAUGGUCGGGACUUCGGUCUCGCGCCACGCGGUCGCCGCGGCAUGUCCGGUGUCGUCGGCGUGCACUUCUCCCCUAGUAGGACGUCGCGACCCGUUGGGUGUCGGAUCAAUGGCCGGUCGGUCGUCUGUUGCGUCGUCCUCGCGGCGACGCGGCAGACCGAUCGGUUCAACGUCCGACUGCCCGGCGGUAUAGAACGCUUAAUCACGGUACUGGGCCGCAACUCGAAUGCGUUCAGGCUCGACGGCAGGCUCGUCUCGCUCGGAUUUACGGACCUAGCGCCGUUGCCGGGCGCUUGGCGUGGCCGUUAGUCGUCGAUGUCCUCGGACUGGCUCUUACCGGUCUGCGACGCUACUGC
rnacentral:rRNA from 1 species